rnacentral:rRNA from 1 species
AUUGAACGCUGGCGGCAGGCCUAACACAUGCAAGUCGAGCGGCAGCGGGAAAGUAGCUUGCUACUUUUGCCGGCGAGCGGCGGACGGGUGAGUAAUGCCUGGGAAAUUGCCCAGUCGAGGGGGAUAACAGUUGGAAACGACUGCUAAUACCGCAUACGCCCUACGGGGGAAAGCAGGGGACCUUCGGGCCUUGCGCGAUUGGAUAUGCACAGGCGGGAUUAGCUAGUUGGUGGGGUAAUGGCUCACCAAGGCGACGAUCCCUAGCUGGUCUGAGAGGAUGAUCAGCCGCACUGGAACUGAGACACGGUCCAGACUCCUACGGGAGGCAGCAGUGGGGAAUAUUGCACAAUGGGGGAAACCCUGAUGCAGCCAUGCCGCGUGUGUGAAGAAGGCCUUCGGGUUGUAAAGCACUUUCAGCGAGGAGGAAGGGUUGAUGCCUAAUACGUAUCAACUGUGACGUUACUCGCAGAAGAAGCACCGGCUAACUCCGUGCCAGCCGCCGCAGUAACAC